rnacentral:rRNA from 1 species
GACGAACGCUGGCGGCGUGCUUAACACAUGCAAGUCGAACGAUGAAGCCGGAGCUUGCUCUGGUGAAUUAGUGGCGAACGGGUGAGUAACACGUGAGUAACCUGCCCUUGACUCUGGGAUAACUGCGGGAAACUGUAGCUAAUACCGGAUACGACCCUCGGAGGCAUCUCCUGGGGGUGGAAGGAAUUUCGGUCAAGGAUGGACUCGCGGCCUAUCAGCUAGUUGGUGAGGUAAAGGCUCACCAAGGCGACGACGGGUAGCCGGCCUGAGAGGGUGACCGGCCACACUGGGACUGAGACACGGCCCAGACUCCUACGGGAGGCAGCAGUGGGGAAUACUGCACAAUGGGCGCAAGCCUGAUGCAGCAACGCCGCGUGAGGGAUGACGGCCUUCGGGUUGUAAACCUCUUUUAGCAGGGAAGAAGCGAAAGUGACGGUACCUGCAGAAAAAGCACCGGCUAACUACGUGCCAGCAGCCGCAGUAA